GGGGCACUCUGCACAUGCUGAGAGACAUUGCGAUUUACUUGGCACUUUUAAAUGACUAGGCGCAUUCUGCAGGUCAGCCCCAGCUCAGAUUUAAAAGCUUGGCUGCAUCUUCUCCUUUGCCACAAACCCAACUGUGAGCUGGCCCAGGGAUCUUCCUGUUGCCAGUUCCAGCUGGUGAUGUGGCAUCUUCUACUCCUCCUGCCUCUCUGGCUGUGACUUGCCAUGUUUUCUUUCCCAGCUACUCCUUCUCAAAGGCAGCUAUUGCAAGAAGAGGGAUGCACUUGCUUCUGCUAUUCACCUUCCUCAGUCUCCUGUGUCUGCCGGUGCAGGGCUGGGUCCUUAAGAAACCCGCCCAGAAUGAGCAGUGGAAGAUGCUGGACUGUUUGCAGAACAGAGAGCUGUUUCUCAGCGCCCUGCAGUCGUACCUCAGCACCAAGGGUAUCCAAGUGGAGAGAACUGCUCCACCAUUUGUCCUUCUCUCAAAGGAUCACAACACUGGGACACGUGGGGAGCUGGAAGGGCAAGACCUGGUGAUCAUGGAGCCCGAGAUGGAUGGGUGGAUGAAUGAAUAAACAGGCAUGAACAGCAGGUGAAAUACUGUCUUUAAACAGCUGGUCAUCCCCUGAACAUCUCUGAUUUGCUGCUUUUGAUGUUGCAUUCUUCUUACAUUUGCCAGAGAAUUGCUUUUUGAUGGUUAGAUAAUUUUCAUCAUAUGUAUUGGCACAUCCUCAGUAGAUUUUGCCUAAGCUGAAUCUAAGGGCCAGUGUGGUGUAGUGAUCAGAGAGGCACAUUAAAAGUGGAGAUACACAGGUUCAAAUCCCAGCUGAAGCUUGGCCACUUGGUCACCUUGGGCCAAUGGCUGUUCUUUGUAGCCUUAACCUGUCUCACAGGUUUACUGUGCCAAUAUCAAGAGACAAGGUGGGAGCACCAUAUGCUUGAGCUUUUUGCAGGAAAGGCAAGAUACGGUAUAAAUGUUAAACAAACUGCCUUCUUUGUCAUCAGUACUAAAAACCAUGUACCUUUGGCUGAGAGGGGCUUGUCCUUCCUUCCCACUUUGUUUGAUCCAUUUAGCUCAGUAUUUUCAACACUGACUUAUAGAAGGCUCUCCAUCAUUUCCGACAGUGGACAUUCUCACUCCUACCAGGAGAUGCCAGGGGUAUGCAAUACAGAUGCUGUUCCACUGAACUAUGGCCCUUCCCCCUGAGGGGAGGGGACUGGCACAGUGCGAUCAUAUAAGUAGUUUUGCUGGGUCAAGACAGUUUGGAAACUGUACUUUGUGAAAAGUUAUGUAUGUGGUAGUUUGCACAUUAAUAGUGGCUAUAAAAUGCAUUCUGUCUAGUGUCAGAGGUAAUGUUUUCUUUAUUUCACAUAUCAUCUCGGUUUGAUCUCUCUCUGGCAUUUUGUGAAUGAACCCCCACAG